GAUGAACGCUGGCGGCGUGCCUAAUACAUGCAAGUCGAGCGAACAGACGAGGAGCUUGCUCCUCUGACGUUAGCGGCGGACGGGUGAGUAACACGUGGAUAACCUACCUAUAAGACUGGGAUAACUUCGGGAAACCGGAGCUAAUACCGGAUAAUAUAUUGAACCGCAUGGUUCAAUAGUGAAAGACGGUUUUGCUGUCACUUAUAGAUGGAUCCGCGCCGCAUUAGCUAGUUGGUAAGGUAACGGCUUACCAAGGCAACGAUGCGUAGCCGACCUGAGAGGGUGAUCGGCCACACUGGAACUGAGACACGGUCCAGCCUCCUACGGGAGGCAGCAGUAGGGAAUCUUCCGCAAUGGGCGAAAGCUUGACGGAGCAACGCCGCGUGAGUGAUGAAGGUCUUCGGAUCGUAAAACUCUGUUAUUAGGGAAGAACAAAUGUGUAAGUAACUAUGCACGUCUUGACGGUACCUAAUCAGAAAGCCACGGCUAACUACGU
rnacentral:rRNA from 1 species